rnacentral:rRNA from 1 species
UACGGAGGGUGCAAACGUUGCUCGGAAUCAUUGGGCGUAAAGCGCGUGUAGGCGGCUUUGCAAGUCGGGUGUGAAAGCCCUCAGCUCAACUGAGGAAGUGCGCCCGAAACUGCAGAGCUUGAGUGCCGGAGAGGGUGGCGGAAUUCCCCAAGUAGAGGUGAAAUUCGUAGAUAUGGGGAGGAACACCGGUGGCGAAGGCGGCCACCUGGACGGUAACUGACGCUGAGACGCGAAAGCGUGGGGAGCAAACAGG